GCACUACUGAGGAGUCCCACAAUAGGACGAAACGGCAGUCCAGUGC
rfam:Schistosoma rodhaini strain Burundi genome assembly, scaffold: SROB_scaffold0000872